AGAAAACUGGGACUCGAACCCACACUUAAUAGAUCAAAACUAUUUGCACUUCAUUGUACUAUUUCCUA
rnacentral:tRNA from 1 species